rnacentral:rRNA from 1 species
CCUACGGGUGGCAACAGUGAGGAAUAUUGGUCAAUGGGCGAGAGCCUGAACCAGCCAAGUCGCGUGAAGGAUGACGGCCCUACGGGUUGUAAACUUCUUUUGUCAGGGAGCAAUUGAGUCCACGUGUGGUCUUAGCGAGAGUACCUGAGGAAAAAGCAUCGGCUAACUCCGUGCCAGCAGCGGCGGUAAUACGGAGGAUGCGAGCGUUAUCCGGAUUUAUUGGGUUUAAAGGGUGCGUAGGCGGAAUAUCAAGUCAGCGGUAAAAAUUCGGGGCUAAACCCCGUCGUGCCGUUGAAACUGAUGUUCUUGAGUGGGCGAGAGGUAUGCGGAAUGCGUGGUGUAGCGGUGAAAUGCAUAGAUAGCACGAAGAACUCCGAUUGCGAAGGCAGCAUACCGGCGACCAACUGACGCUGAAGCACGAAAGCGUGGGUAGCGAACAGGAUUAGAUACCCCUGUAGUC